rnacentral:lncRNA from 1 species
CUUAUAUCUCUUUUUAUUUAUACAGAUCUCAUACAACAGGCUGCCAUAUGAUCCGGUGGUCACCGUCUGAAUCGUGAGCUUUUCCAGUCUUUCCUCUCGUCAUCUCCAGUCUUCUUCUUCGCCACUACACCUUCAUCUACAGACAUCUUCGCCAUCUACACAGACAUCUACAUAUCCAGUCAUCAUAGUCGCCAUCACCAACAUCACCAUCAACAUAGAACUACUUCAUCUCAGCAUUCAUCAUUAUUAUCUUGCUUUGGAUCUUAUAGACUAUACUGGAUUCUUCCGAUUUUCAUUUCUACGGCAUGUGUGGUCACAUAUUCUGCGGCCCCAAGGAGGUGCCCGGUGAACAUUGGUCGAGUGAAAAUGCAAGGCUCCCAUAAUGGUGCCGGCCAGAUGCCGGCCAGUAAGCUUACAGGCUCCGUCCCAUGAACAGAUGCACCCCAUGGCUCCCGGGGCCCAGCCAGGGUCUUCAAGGCGCCCGACUGGGUGCCGUGCGGUGCACUGAACUACGUGUCCUCUGACAUCUUGCGUCUCCUGUAUUGAAAGCUGCAUUCUACAUUAAGAAUUGACAGAAUAAAGCCUGAGGGGCCCACAGGCCCUUUUCGAGCCUUCUACGCCCUAACGGUCAGAUUAAAACGCCAGGAGAAUU